GAUGAACGCUGGCGGCGUGCCUAAUACAUGCAAGUCGAGCGAACGGACGAGAAGCUUGCUUUCCCGAUGUUAGCGGCGGACGGGAGAGUACCACGUGGUCAACCUAACUCUAAGACUGGGAUAACAUCGGGAAACCGGAGCUACUAACGGAAAAUAUUUUGCAUUGCAUGGUUCCAAAGUGAAAGAAGGUCUUUCUUACACUUAUAGAUUGCUAAGGCCUUCAUUAAUUAGUUGGUAAGGUAACGGCUUAGCAACGCAACGAGGCAUAAACGACCCGAGGGGGUGAUCCGCCAGACUGGAACUGAGACACGGCCGAGACUCCGACAGGAGGCAGCAGUAGAGAAUCUUCCGCGAGGGACGAGAGCCUGACGGAGCAACGCCGCGUGAAUGAUGAAGGACUUCGGAUCGGAGAACUCUGUUAUUAUGGGAGUACUAAAGUGUAAGUAACUGUGCACAUCUUGACGGUACCUAAUCAGAAAGCCACGGCUAACUACGUG
rnacentral:rRNA from 1 species